CAGGGACUCAACGGUGGACCGGGACCAAAAAGCCAACCUGGGCGAUCAGGAGACCCUGGACUUAAGGGACUUAGUGGACCAGGCGGACCUAAAGGAGGCAAGGGUGAACCCGGUCUACAGGGGAAGCCAGGUCUGCAUGGGGAGGUCGGGACCAAAGGAUCUAAGGUCAGAGAAGCUUCCUCUCUAAUGGUG